AGCGGAUCGCGGCCACCUGGGCGGUGCGACCCCUUGCUAGGACUGGGAGAUCCAGCGCGUUCAACCGCACCAACGUCUGCCGUGCCGCCGUUCCUCCGCCGCUUCGUUACACAUUUUCUGGCAACGUCUCGAGUCUUGAGCAAUAGCAGUGCGCCAGGCACUCUCGUCAUAGAUAGUUCGCGCGUUACUCCACCCGAACCAAGGGGCGUGUGCUUGCCCUAAACCUUUUCCAGGGAAAUACUUUACCGGUUCUGCUGAAUAAUCGGAAAAAAUGUAACCACCGUGAGCAAAAGAACUAGGUUCCCAGAGUUCCGUUCAAAGGCAGGAAAGAAACUCUAGGGCGGUUAAUAUAAAGAAUAUAUAGGGCUGGCCUGUGUGACAAGUCCCACUAGACGUCUCAUGGGAAAAUAUGCCCCUUUUUUUUUUUUGCCAGGGAGGUUUAGUUUAUUCUAGGGCUGCCCACCUCACUGAAAACACAAAACAAAACAGGACACCUUCCCAUCUGCACUGGCCUGUUUGUUGUCAUCCCCAGAGGUCCUGACGGCUCAACACAAAAUUGAUUACUGAAAAAGGAAUUUGGUUUGUUCAUGCAACCACCGCUACAAUCAAGAUACAGAACUGUUCCAUCACUACAAACAUCUCCCUUGUGCUACUACUUUAGUAGCACAGCUACUCCUCUCCCCCACCCCCAUCAACCUUAAUCCCUGGCAGCCACUUAUCUAUUCUUCCUUUUUAUAAUUUAUUUGAAGAAUGUUACAGAAAUGGGAUCACUGAAAUGAUCUUUUUUUUUCACUCAGCAUAUUUGGUGGAAUAAUUUGCUUGGUGAUGACCUGCUCCCACUCUUGUUGUUUUGGGUUUGUACCAUUUUGAUUCCUUUGCCAUUUGUCAGUUGAUAUUGGGCAUGAUAAACACACAUGACUGGUCUGUUAUUCUUCUACUAGGAAGAAAUAUUUUGUUAAAUAACUUUUCAGAGGGUAUUUUCUGUAUGAAAAUUAUCUAAAAUAUACAUCUCUGAUGCUAGAACUUUAGAGGUUCUGAGAAUGAACUUAAUGUUGAGGUGUUUAAGUAAUUUUGAUUCAGUAGGUGGCACUCUUUCCUAGUUUAACUCAAUCCUAAAUUAGUGUUUGAAUUUCAGUUCAGGGUAGAAAGAUUUUAUUUAUCCUUACAAUCCAAAUAAAUGUUUUCAGAAUUGGGUUGUCAAUUCUGACCAAUUUAUAUUUUCACAACUUAAAAUGUUUGAGUUAAAUUUCAAAGUAAAAAUCUGAAAAAAAAUCUAAAACUAAAAUCUCCAACAUUUCUAAAUUUCUAGAACAGUAGUGUUAAUAGUGACUUAUGCUCUAUCAAAAGUUAAAAAUAAUCAAAAUCUUACCAGAAGUCCUGAGUACUAAAGACAUUCAGAUUCAAGCUGUUAAAUAUUUUAUAAAUAUUCUCUUAUUCCACUCCAGUAUUCUUGCCUGGA